rnacentral:misc_RNA from 1 species
GUUUUAGUUUUGUGCAUUAAGCACAGGUACAUUCCUUUACAAUGAUAGAGUGUGUAAAAAAUUGCCCGGGUACGGAUCCGAAGACCACUAAAAUGCACCCAAGCCAAGUGUUCACAGGUGUGUGGAUUGGUUUGCGACCGACGUGCACAUGCGUUUCCGCCAGCACAGUCGACCGACUUUGUAACUCAGUAAUGAUCCUUCCGCAGGUUCACCUACGGAAA